rnacentral:rRNA from 1 species
UACGUAGGGUGCAAGCGUUGUCCGGAAUUAUUGGGCGUAAAGAGCUCGUAGGCGGUUUGUUGCGUCGGCUGUGAAAUCCCGAGGCACAACCUCGGGUCUGCAGUCGAUACGAGCAAACUGGAGUGUUGCAGGGGAGACUGGAAUUCCUGGUGUAGCGGUGAAAUGCGCAGAUAUCAGGAGGAACACCGGUGGCGAAGGCGGGUCUCUGGGCAACAACUGACACUGAGGGACGAAAGCUAGGGGAGCGAAUGGG